rnacentral:lncRNA from 1 species
AUGCGUAAAGUGAUAUAACUUAUUUACCAUACAUAUUAGAGACCUAGGGUCUUUUGAUUUGAGAUCCUUGGUCCAAAAAAAUGAAAAUUAGGUCAAGGUCAAAGGUCAAGGUCAUAUUCUAAAUUUUGAUUUUGGCUUAUUUUCACUCAUUUUCAUUAACCUUAUAAGAUAUCAACAAAUUAUUUUUACUAAAUUGUUAGUUGCGACAUGUCGUAACUUAAUAAUUUUGGUUGAAAGGGUGUGUAGUCAAUAAAUGGGAGUUUUAGCCCCUAUCAUAUCUAAAAUAAUGCGUAAAGUGAUAUAACUUAUUAACCAUACAUAUUAGAGACCUAGGGUCUUUUGAUUUGAGAUCCUUGGGCCAAAAAAAUGAAAAUUAGGUCAAGGUCAAAGGUCAAGGUCAUAUUCUAAAUUUUUGAUUUUGGCUUAUUUUCACUCAUUUUCAUUAACCUUAUAAGAUAUCGACAAAUUAUUUUUACUAAAUUGUUAGUUGCGACAUGUCGUAACUUAAUAAUUUUGGUUGAAAGGGUGCGUAGUCAAUAAACGGGAGUUUUAGCCCCUAUCAUAUCUAAAAUUAUGCGUAAAGUGAUAUAACUUAUUAACCAUACAUAUUAGAGACCUAGGGUCUUUUGAUUUGAGAUCCUCAGUUUGUGACCUUGAAAUUGAGGUCAAGGUCAUAGGUAAAUUUGACGUUCUAGAUUAUGACCUUUGCUUAAAAUUCAUAUCUAUACAUCACAAUGCCAUAGGAACUGACAUUUUAGACUGAUUUUUAAUAAUUUAAUAUCAAAAUAGAUAUUUACUGGUGGAA